GGCAUUAAUGGAACAAGCAUCAAGAAAGAGGAUCUGACAGUGCUGGGCAACUUGGUAUGUGCUGUGAGCAGUGAUGUCAUCAAAAACUCAGACCCAGAAAUCCUUGAGAACUUGAAGAACUGCAAAGAUCUCUCAGAUUCGCAAAUAUCAGCCAUGCAAGAGCUUCUUAUGAAGGGAACGUCAAAAUAUGGACCAACAAGCAAUUGGAAUCAGAAAACACUUAAUGAUCUGGGAAUUAUGCCUUUGUACUUCUAGUGGGACAAGUUAGAUUUACUUGUAUUUAAAAAAAAAAAAAAUAGAAGUCAACUUAUGAUUAUUCUAUUUUCAGUCCUGAUUCUGUGCAUUAGUUAAAAAGUGCACUGGUUAUGGUUGUGUGGGUAAUGGAAGAUUAUGUCUCUACUAUUUAGACCAACAAGCAAUUGGAAUCAGAAAACACUUAAUGAUCUGGGAAUUAUGCCUUUGUACUUCUCACAAAGCUUUUUGGCAGUCAUUCAGAGAGAGUGAUUUAGCCAAGUUCUUCAAAACCUUCUUUAAAUUUGUGCGUGGACAAAACACACCAAAGCCACAACUGAAAAGGCUGUUUAGAGCAAUCAUUGUAACCUCAUUCAGAGCCAAGAGGGCAGCUGAAUGUACUAAGGGCAGCAUCACUAGUCUUACCAUCAGGGAUGAUGCCUUCCCCUUUGGAUAUGAUGAGGUGCAGUUCUAUAUAUAUAUAUAUAUAUAUAUAGUUAAUCACUACAUAAAAAAGAGAUUAUGCAAUGCACAUAACUUGUAUU
rnacentral:lncRNA from 1 species